rnacentral:lncRNA from 1 species
AUCUGCAGUGUAGUGCCGUACAGGUCAUCGAGGUGACUCCGGUUGGAUUGGAUGUUGAGCUAUAGAAUUAACCGUACAGGACCAACUGCAGGGUCUCCGGUUAAUUCAACUUUUCACCUGUUACAUUGAUGCAUCAUUUAUUUUGUUUUCGAAAUUAAAACAUGGCAUACUUUUCGAGUUUUAAAGAAAAAUUGAUGAUUCGAGAUUUAUGAAAAGUAUUAUGUUAUUAUACUAUUUUCUGGGAAAAGUAUACAGGUUUUACAGUGAGGGGUUAGAAUUAUUUUUGGCGAAAUGUUUUUGAAAAGCUUGGUUUUACUGACCCACUCAAUUUUGUUUUUCGCCCCUCCAGGUUCUUGAUAGCAGAGUUUUGGUGGCCACGAGGAAUCCAACGGUAUUCUGACAGAAUUCACAAAAGUAGGACUCACCCUCGAGGGUUUCCAUUUUAAUAAUUGUAUUUUAAAAGCUUCCGAACUGUGUAAAUGGUUACGUCACUCUCAUGUGACGGCCAGCAUGCCCUCCUUCGGGACGGGGUGUGUCAGUUGGUAUCAGAGCCUAGGUUUCAAUCUUGGACAUCUUUAGAAUUUCCUUGUGUCUUCUGUCAGAACUUUACCGCCUCGUAGCGAGCCACGUAGUUGGGAUGAGUUUAGUUUCCCGGAUAUAGUAGCUUAGGGGGGGAAACUAUUGCUAAUAUAAUCCAGUCUAUUAUCUAAGAAACCCUUUGAGACUGGUUAUAAGUUGAAUUUGAAUCACUUUAUGGAAAUUAUGAACCUGAGGGAGCAGAGUGUUGGCUUACUCACUUGGAAAAGACGUUUUGGGUUAUGCAAGUAAAACGAAUCUUCCUUCUGACAGGUGGGUCGAGACGACUACCUGAUUGUGGGUUAUGAAUUUGUAUCCUGGUGGAAACAGGAGUAUUAUUCGUUGUCACCAGAGGAAACAGCUGAUUGAGAAUUAUUUAAGGAAUUGUUAAAGAAAAGAUUUAUUCCUCCGGUAUAUUAUGAUGGUAGUAUGCAAGAGUUUGCAAAGGUGAAACAAGGAAGAUGACGGCAAAUGAGUAUUAUAGAAAGUUUUUAGACUUGCCUCGUUUCCAUUUGGAUAUUGUUGCUAAGUUGGUUGAAGUGUUAUGUUGUUUUAGGCUGGAUAAUAAGAAGAAGUGACGUUCUUUGGCGACCACUAUCUAUUGUACUGUCUAUCAAGAGUUUACGAGAUGUUGUUGAGGGUUGAGGACUCUGAGAACAUGAUCAGCGUGAGUAAAGAAGAAUAAGAAAAAAAUGGUGAUUAGAGGAAAGACGAUAAGUUUAAAGAAUCGUCAUAUCAAGGACAUCGAAAGACUCAGAGCUUCAAAAGAAGUGAAGUUAGAACUAAUUCUUCCAGCUGAGAUUUUAAUGCCACUGGUCAGAGGCGAAGUGAUAGAUUUAUUGGUGAGCCCAGAUCUCAGAGAUAAGGUGAUUUGAAUAAGAGAAAUGUACCUUUGUACCGUAUGUACAAUAUUAGACACUUUGGAGAGUGUGGGAAUCAGUGAAUGUGUUUAUGUGGUUGGAUGAGACAUAGAGGUAUGAAUGGUCCUUAGAAUCAGUUGUUACCCAGCAGUCUUCCCUGACACCACAGUAUCGAUCCAGCAGGGUUAUGGACUUAGUAGUUUGGUCAGAUUGGCGAUGGGUACAAGGAUAAUUGAUGAGUUAUAAGUCCAGCCGUACAGGCAACAAAAGGUGGAUCCGGCGAACAUAUUAUUUGGAAAAUUGAGGAGUAAGCCGUACAGGUCAUUCUAGCUGACUCCGGCUGAUAUAUUUCUUAUCAUGGACGAUGUUGCCAAAGAGGGUAAUGUUGGAGCACGAUCGAGGCGUAUUUAUGUAUUUCUAAUGAAGAACAAGAUGAUAAUAUUACACAUUCAGGGUGUCCAGUGAUGGUGGAAGAAGUAGUUAUGCCAGUGAAUCUUAUCCUGUUAGACAUUUUCUCGAUGUUUUCCCUGAGGAAUUACCUGGAUUGCCGUCGGGCGGAGAUAUAGAGUUUAAUGUUGAUUUGUAUCCAGAUACCAAUUUUAUGUUAGAGAUUGGUUUAUGAUGAGUUAAGAGAAUUGGAAAUUCGAUUACAUGAAUUAGUUGAUAAAGGUUUUAUUCAAAGUACAUCACGUUGGGAGAACACCAGUUUAUUGGUGAGGAAGAAAUGGACAUUAAGGCUAUGUUUUAAUUAUAAGUAAUUGAAUCGGGUAAUGAUCAAGAACCGUUAUCCAUUAUUGCGUAUUGAUGAUUUAUUGAUCAACUUAGAGGUCUGCGUAUUUCCUAAGAUUGACUUAAGGUCUGGUUGUUACCGAUUGAAGAGUUAAUGAUAACGUUCCUACGAUUGUGUUCAGGACUCGUUACGGUUAUUAUGAGUUUUCGUGAUGCUAUUCGAAUUGACGGAUUCUCCUGCUGUUUUAUAAGUUGAUGGAUGAAGUUUUCCAAGAAUAUCUUGAUAGGUUCGUUAUUGUUUUCAUUGACGAUACUCUGGGAUACUCUGAGCCGAGAGCAGAGCAUGUUAGAUAUUUUAAGUUGAUGUUACAAAGAUUGAAGGAACGUUGAUUGUAUGCUAAGUUUAGCAAAUGUCAAUGUUGUAUGAAUCAACAACAAUUAUAAAAUGCAUUAUAUAUGCUUAAGGUAUUCAAGCGAAAUUUUAAAAGGUAGCAGCGAUUGAGAAUUUGGAACAAUCGCGAACCGUGGCUGAAGUUUGGAAUUUUCUUGGCUUAGCAGGGUGUUAUAGAUGGUUUGUUGAAGGUUUUAAUGAUGCUUCUUUGAGUGGUGUUGGAUGUGUUAAAGUGGAAGUGUUAAAGUGCAAGUGUUAAGGUAAUUGUCUAUGCUCCGCGACAAAUGGAAACCUCAUGAGAUAAAUUACUCUACUCGUGAUUUGGAAUUAACAACUAUCAUCUUUGCUGGGAAGAUUAGGAGACAUUAUCUUUAUGAAGAAAAGUGUAAGAUUUCUACGAAUCAUGAGAGUCUCCAAUAUCUGUUUACUCAGAUGAAUCUGAUCUUAGGCAACGAAGAUGGGGUUGCUUAGUGAUUAUGAUUGCACGACCAGGGUGAUCUUGAAAUUUUUGCGACCAAAGCACUUGGUAGGAAAGCUCCAGUAAGAAUUAAUGCUUUGUAUACUUGUUAUGUUUUCCUUCUUGCGGAUUUGAGACCUACUGGGAUGAAGCUUAAGGUAAAAGUUAAGAAGAAGUUUUAUUGGCUAAUUUUCAAGUUAGGCUGAUUUUAGUUGAUUGUCUACUUGACGCCUAGAAAAGUGAGGAAGGAAAUUUUGGAUGAAGCUCAUUGUUCAGCUUAUGCGAUGCACCCGGGAGGAACUAAAAUGUAUCAUACCAUUCGACCAUUUUAUUAUUGGCCUGGUAUGAAAAGAGAAAUUGCUGAGUAUGUAAGUAGAUGUAUUAUUUGCCAGCAAGUGAAGGCAGAAAGAAAGAAACAUUUUGGUCGGAUGCGGCCACUUCCCGUUCCUCUGUGGAAAUGGGAAAAUAUCACUAUGGAUUCUGUGUAUAAGCUUCCACGUACACAGAAUGGAUUUGAUAGCGUUUGGGUGGUUGUAGAUCGGCUUACCAAGCCAGCACACUCCAUUUCAGUGGGAGAAAAGUAUCCUUUGAAUAAAUUAGCUAAGUUGUUCAUCACAAAGAUUGUGAGGUAUCAUGGAGUUCCAGUAAAUAUUAUCUCUGAUCGAGACCCGAGAUUUACUUCUAAAUUCUGGGUGGCUUUUCAGGAAGCUCUGGGUACAUAAUUACUGUAUAGCACUGCUUAUCAUCCUCAAACUGAUGGGCAAUCAGAGAGGACUAUUCAGACGUUGGAAGAUAUGUUGAGAUCUUCAGUAUUACAAUUUGGUGAUUCCUGGCAUGAUCGUCUGGACUUGAUGGAGUUUGCUUAUUAUAACAGUUUUCACUCGAGCAUUGGUAUGUCACCAUUUGAGGCACUUUAUGGUAGGGCGUGUCGAACGCCAUUAUGUUGGUCUAAGGUUGGUGAAAGAGUAUUAGAAGGCCCAAAGAUUGUAGAUGAGACAACUCAAAAUGUUCAGGUAAUUAAGUCAAACCUGAAAGCAGCCCAGGAUCGACAGAAGAGUUUAGCGGAUCGGCAUACUACUGAUCGAGUAUAUAAUGUGGGUGAUUGGGUGUUUUUGAAAUUGUCACCUUGGAGAGGUGUGGUACGAUUUGGGAAAAGAGGAACGCUAAGUCCGAGAUACAUUGGACCUUAUGUGAUCAUUGAAAGAGUUGGUGAAGUUGCCUACCGGUUGGAGCUGCCUCCGGAGUUAUUUAAGGUCCAUAAUGUGUUUCACGUCUCUAUGCUUCGACAUUAUAUUUUUGAUCCUUCUCAUGUGAUCCCUCCUCAACCGCUAGAGGUUAAUCCGGACUUGACUUAUGAUGAGGAACCAAUCACGAUUUUGGAUUGGAAAGAUAAGGUUCUAAGGAACAAAACGGUUAGUUUGGUGAAGGUGUUGUGGAAGAACCAUUCUGUUGAGGAAGCUACCUGGGAGACGGAAGAUCGGAUGAGAGAGAUAUACCCAAGGUUAUUUUAUGGGUAUUAAGUGCGUUAUUUGGUUCUGGGAAUUUCGGGGACGAAAUUCUAUAAGGAGGGGAGAUUGUCACAGCCCGUCCCGAGAUUUUCAUAUCAGGAGUGUGAAAUGACGGAAAUACCCUUGACGUCACUAAGGUGUGUGUGUGACAUGUUUUGGAUAUUUCAUAUUUUUCCUAAACUAUUGGAAAUGUCAUUUAAGUUGGAUAAAAAUAUUGAAAAGUUGGAUUGUUUGUUUGGUUAGGGAUUUAGAGAAUGGAUGGUGUGGAUUGAUUUUGGUCACCUAUACCCUUACACUUUCAUUCUCUCUAUCCCGUGGCUCUCUCUCUCCUCCAUCCCGACUCUCUCUCUACACACACCCAUACGUACGGACACACCCAAAAAUCUUCCAAACUCGACGGAUCGAGGCAACCAAGGUAUGCAUCUUCAUCAUUGAGUCAUUUUAAGUCGAUUGGUACUAGUUUUAGGAAGUGAAACCCUCGAAAUCACGUGAAACCCGAACCUAUAUUUUUCGUCACUGUUCAUGCACUCGUAAUAUGUUGUGUUUCAGGGAAUUCUAAGCUUAUAGUGAGCUUAGUGAGGUCCCAAGGAAGCUCGGAGUGCUUCGUUGGAAGGAUUUGGACGUCGGGAUCACGAGGGUUAAGUUUGGCCGAUUUUGUUUGGAUUUUUCCGGUGAGAUUUCUUGAUUUUUAGAGCCUUAAACUAGUCUAUUGUGAUUCUACAUGUUGAGGGCUUUAAAUUGAUAUAUUAUACGAAGAAAAUGGUUGAGAAACGAAGGAGAACGAAGCAUUUGAAAAUUCCCCAGUUUUCCGGCCGCCGGAAAAACCAGUCCGGCGAACCAAGGUUGGGGAUGAUGCGCGUGGGGGCGCGUGUCCCCGUGCUUGUCCUGGCGCGUGGGGGGGCGCGUGGAACAUCAAAAAAAUAAUCUAAAAAUAUGUCGACGUUCGUGACGUCAAGUAGAUCACUGUGGUAUAUUCAUAUACCCAAAUUGAGCACCGUAUGAGAAAGUUAUUACGAUUAUUGGUUAGGUGCUUUAAAUAACGUUUUAUAGUUUUCGCCUUUAGGUGAAAAUGGGAAUUGACGAUCCGACCGUUGGAUCGUCACCAAACUUUGAUACGUUGAAAUACGUAAUAUUUGAGGAUUAUUGGAACUUACGGAUUGGGAAUCCGAGUUACGGAUCUUCCAGAAUUGGAGUUGUAAGUUCAUAAAAUAAAAUGUUAACCGUCACUUAGUUUUGGAAAUUGACGGAGAUCCGACCGUUGGAUGGUAAUGAAAUUUCAGGAUGUUGUCCUAGGGAUAUAUUGUGGACCUCUGGAAGUUAUGGAUUUAAAAUCUGAGUUGCAGAUCUUUCGGAUCAAUCUAUGUAGUGACGUAUUUUAUAUAAGUUAUAUUCUAUCGAUAUGAUUUCUGAGGUUGGAUUUGAUUAUUGUUCUAGGCGGCGAUCGUCGUCAUGACGCCUUGAUGAUGAGUUGUGCUAGGGAGUUGUAGGGCGAACUCCAGGUGAGUGGGCAGUUUUGUUUUCGUAUUACCUAUAUACUAUUGAGUUUUCCCAGAAAUUGAAUUUAAAUGAAAGUAUGAUUUAAAAUGCCAUGGAUAGAUUUAUAUGAAAAGUAUGAUUUGAAAUGCCAUGCAUAGAAGUAUAUGAAAAGCAUGAAUUGAUGUAUGAUGUAUAUAUAUAUAUGUGAAUUGGUGCUGUGGACGCACAGGUAAGUAUCAGGUGAGUUUUAUAUUAUUCAUGUGCAUUGUUGAUGUGUAUAUUGUGGAUAGCUCAUAACCUGCAAUCAUGGUGUUAGUGCUUAUAUUAUUCACCACACCGCACGCUCGUCUUGGAUCCAAGUAGGUGGAUGUCGUACAGACCAAGUGAGGGUUCCGACAUGCUAGUCGUAUAGAUUACUAGAUGUGAUUCCGACUAGUGGGUGACCUUAGAUUAUGUGCACAGAUGAUUGAUGAGAGAAGCACUAGAGCGUAUUAUUACACCAUCCAUGUCGUACAGACUACUUCAGGUAGUUCCGACUUAUCUGCAGUGUAGUGCCGUACAGGUCAUCGAGGUGACUCCGGUUGGAUUGGAUGUUGAGUUAUAGAAUUAACCGUACAGGACCAACUGCAGGGUCUCCGGUUAAUUCAACUUUUCACCUGUUACAUUGAUGCAUCAUUUAUUUUGUUUUCGAAAUUAAAACAUGGCAUACUUUCGAGUUUUAAAGAAAAAUUGAUGAUUCGAGAUUUAUGAAAAGUAUUAUGUUAUUAUACUAUUUUCUGGGAAAAGUAUACAGGUUUU